UACAGAGGGUGCAAGCGUUGUUCGGAAUUACUGGGCGUAAAGCGCGUGUAGGUGGCGAUGUAAGUCGGGUGUGAAAUCCCUUGGCUUAACCAAGGAAGUGCAUUCGAUACUGUGUCGCUUGAGUACUGGAGGGGAUGGUGGAAUUCCCGGUGUAGAGGUGAAAUUCGUAGAUAUCGGGAGGAACACCUGUGGCGAAGGCGACCAUCUGGACAGUCACUGACACUGAGACGCGAAAGCGUGGGUAGCAAACAGG
rnacentral:rRNA from 1 species